CAAUGCUCUUUCAACUAAGCUACGCGGUCAGGACGGUUCGAGUAUGUGAUUGGUAUCGAAGGAACUAGAUUCUGUUCCGAAAUAUCACUUACUCGAACCGUCCUGACCGCGUAGCUCAGUUGAAAGAGCAUUGGG